rnacentral:rRNA from 1 species
AAUUUUGGACAAUGGGGGAAACCCUGAUCCAGCCAUCCCGCGUGUAUGAUGAAGGCCUUCGGGUUGUAAAGUACUUUUGGCAGAGAAGAAAAGGUAUCCCCUAAUACGGGAUACUGCUGACGGUAUCUGCAGAAUAAGCACCGGCUAACUACGUGACAGCAGCCGCGGGAAUACGUAGGGUCGAAGCGUUAAGCGGAAUUACUGGGCGUAAAGCGUGUGUAGGCGGUUCGGAAAGAAAGAUGGAAAAUCCCAGGGGUAAACCUUGGAACUGCAUUUUUAACUGCCGAGCUAGAGUAUGUCAGAGGGUGGUGGAAUUCCACGUGUAGCAGUGAAAUGCGUAGAUAUGUGGAGGAAUACCAAUGGCGAAGGCAGCCCCCUGGGAUAAUACUGACGCUCAGACACGAAAGCGUGGGGAGCAAACAGG